rnacentral:rRNA from 1 species
CGUGUAGGCGGUCCUCUUAAGUCUGGUGUGAAAGCCCGGGGCUUACCCCCGGAAGGGCACUGGAAACUGGGAGGCUAGAGUACCGGAGAGGGAGGGUGGAAUUCCUGGUGUGGCGGUGAAAUGCGUAGAUAUCAGGAGGAACACCGGUGGCGAAGGCGGCCCUCUGGACGGAUACUGACGCUGAGACGCGAAAGCGUGGGGAGCAAACAGGAUUAGAUACCCUGGUAGUCCACGCUGUAAACGAUGGGCACUAGGUGUUCGGGGUAUUGACCCCCUGAGUGCCGCAGCUAACGCAUUAAGUGCCCCGCCUGGGGACUACGGCCGCAAGGUUAA